rnacentral:ncRNA from 2 species
AGACAGUAAGCGGGAGAGCCCACAUUGACAGUGGGCACCGACGGUGCAACAUCCUCCCCAGGAAUCUCUCAGGUAUCCCAACCGCUUGCUACAG